AGUGUUCACUUGUCCAUAUCUGACUGAUCACCGGAUGAGGAAUGAGGAAGUGAUGAGAGGCUUUACUGGAAGCCGGCUGAGGAGGGGCUGAUGGGAAGUCAUGGUCGGGAUAUCGAUUCCUGCGUCCUCUCAGAGCAGAUGGACGGGAAUGCUGUGAAGGUUUGCUGUCGGCCACUGACCUUUAACUUAAAAGAACUGGCCUGAGAUCAGCUUCAUUGCUGGGAGUUGAGUGAGUCACAGAGAAAGGAAUGCUGGGUAGCUGAAGGAGGCCGUUCGCGAAGGCUUGGGAAGAGGAACUUGAACAGGUAGAGACAGAUUCUGAUGAGAAAGAGAGUCUGGGUCGCUCUCAGAGGCACAUUCCGAUCCGAGCCGCUCCGCAGAGUCCUGGAAACACAGGAAGAGCAGCAUUGGAAGCAAACACUGAGCUGGAUCUCACAGUUCUUUCAAACAAACACACACUGUGCAUAGUAAUGGGAUGUCGAACAUUUCUCACCACUAUUAAACAUGCAACAGAUGUUUAAAA